rnacentral:rRNA from 1 species
UACGUAGGGUGCGAGCGUUGUCCGGAAUUAUUGGGCGUAAAGAGCUCGUAGGCGGCCUGGUCGCGUCGGAUGUGAAAGCCCGGGGCUUAACCCCGGGUCUGCAUUCGAUACGGGCAGGCUAGAGUUCGGUAGGGGAGAUCGGAAUUCCUGGUGUAGCGGUGAAAUGCGCAGAUAUCAGGAGGAACACCGGUGGCGAAGGCGGAUCUCUGGGCCGAUACUGACGCUGAGGAGCGAAAGCGUGGGGAGCGAACAGG